AGUGAACGCUGGCGGUAGGCCUAACACAUGCAAGUCGAACGGCAGCACAGUAAGAGCUUGCUCUUACGGGUGGCGAGUGGCGGACGGGUGAGGAAUACAUCGGAAUCUACUUUUUCGUGGGGGAUAACGUAGGGAAACUUACGCUAAUACCGCAUACGACCUACGGGUGAAAGCAGGGGAUCUUCGGACCUUGCGCGAUUGAAUGAGCCGAUGUCGGAUUAGCUAGUUGGCGGGUAAAGGCCCACCAAGGCGACGAUCCGUAGCUGGUUUGAGAGGAUGAUCAGCCACACUGGAACUGAGACACGGUCCAGACUCCUACGGGAGGCAGCAGUGGGGAAUAUUGGACAAUGGGCGCAAGCCUGAUCCAGCCAUACCGCGUGGGUGAAGAAGGCCUUCGGGUUGUAAAGCCCUUUUGUUGGGAAAGAAAAGCAGCAGGUUAAUACCCCGCUGUUCUGACGGUACCCAAAGAAUAAGCACCGGCUAACUUCGUG
rnacentral:rRNA from 1 species